rfam:Myotis lucifugus cont2.33695, whole genome shotgun sequence.
AUCGCUUCUCGGCCUUUUGGCUAAGAUCAAGUGUAGUAUCUGUUCUUAUCAGUUUAAUUCUUCAAUCAACUUGCUUACUAAACUUACCAGUUUCUUAGCUUCUGCUCCACUCUUUAUUUUGUGUGGGUACUUUGCUAUCACAGAUGCUGCUUUUCUAUAAAAAAAAGAAAAGAAAUUAGAAAUCCACUA